rnacentral:misc_RNA from 1 species
UUUUUAAUUAAAAACUAGAAUGAAAGGUUAUACACUCAAAUUUCUUUAUUAAUUUUUAAUAAAUAAUUUAUAUUAAAUAUAAAAAUAUAUUUAUGAAAAAAAAAGACGACAAGACCCUAUUAAAUUUUACUUAUAGUUUAGCUGGGGAAGCUUUUCAAUUAAAAUUUUUUAAAAUCUUAAAAUAAAUAUCUAAUUUAAAUUAAAAUUUAAAUAAAUUACUAUAGGGAUAACAGCAUUAUAUUUUUUAAAAGUUCAUAUUAAAAAAAAUGAUUGUGACCUCGAUGUUGAAUUAUAUUUUCUAUAUUUAAUGCAAUAAUUAUAAAAGUAGAUCUGUUCGAUCUUUAAAAUAUUACAUGAUUUGAGUUCAAACCGGUGUAAACCAGGUUGGUUUCUAUCUUUUUAUAUAUUUUUCCAGUACGAAAGGACAAAAAAAUUUUUAUUUUAAUAAAUUAGCAAAUAUAAUGCAUUAGAUUUAGAAUCUAAAUAUAUUUAAAUU